rnacentral:rRNA from 1 species
AUGCUAACGUUGUCUAUUCAGCUAAUUUAUACUGUAGGUUGUUGUACCUUGUGCUGCAUUCAUCCCCUGCUUUUGGGCUCUGCAGGCGAGGUUGGUCAAGUCUCAAGUGCUGGUUUUAUACUUUUACUGCUGUGUGAGUGCACAUUCUUGUUGGAGAUGGCAACUGAACACGAGAGAGACAAGCAAAUUGGACAAGAGGAAGAGGAAGAGGAAGAGGAAGAAGAGUAUGUCUUGCUAGAGUUGGAUGGUUGUCUCCAUUCCAACAUUCAACCAGAUGCCCCUUAUAUACUCUCUGGUUUGGAUACACCGACCCCUAACUUGAUAGUAGGUCGCGGCGUGAACAUGAUUGGAGAGUAUGAAGAAACGGUCGGCACAUAUUAUUUAUUUUCGGAAAGUGAUGCUCCAUCAAAACCAGUUCAUGAUCGGACUGUACCUCUCAAAGUAAAUAAGGACAAGCUAGGCAGCAGUUGUAAGGAAGGACCAUCCAAGGAGGUGAAACAUCUCGCAAGCGUUCAAAAGAUCCUCAAAUUCCAGUCGAUCAACGAGGAUCAUCAUGAGCACAGAGCAUAUCAGCAUAAGGAUAAGGAGUUCUCCUUUGACCCUUCAAAUAGAAUGUAG